rnacentral:tRNA from 1 species
AAAUAAGAAGCAAAUAUUGCAAUCAGUUUCGACCUGAACAUAGGUAUUAAUUUACCCUUAUUUU